CCUACGGGUGGCAGCAGUGAGGAAUAUUGGUCAAUGGGCGUAAGCCUGAACCAGCCAAGUCGCGUGCGGGAUGAAGGUUCUAUGGAUCGUAAACCUCUUUUAUAAGGGAAUAAAGUGUGGGACGUGUCCUAUUUUGUAUGUACCUUAUGAAUAAGGAUCGGCUAACUCCGGGCCAGCAGCCGCGGUAAUACGGAGGAUCUGAGCGUUAUCCGGAUUUAUUGGGUUUAAAGGGUGCGUAGGCGGCCUUUUAAGUCAGCGGUGAAAGUCUGUGGCUCAACCAUAGAAUUGCCGUUGAAACUGGAGGUCUUGAGUAUGUUUGAGGCAGGCGGAAUUCGUGGUGUAGCGGUGAAAUGCUUAGAUAUCACGCAGAACCCCGAUUGCGAAGGCAGCCUGCCAGGCCAUGACUGACGCUGAUGCACGAAAGCGUGGGGAUCAAACAGGAUUAGAUACCCGUGUAGUC
rnacentral:rRNA from 1 species